ACACUUAAAUGAUUAACUAACAAAAUCACUCGCCAGAAUACUACAAGCAACAGCUUAAUACUCAAAGGACUUGGCGGUGCUUCAAUCCCUUCUAGAGGAGCCUGUUCUAUAAUCGAUAAACCCCGAUAAACCUCACCACCUCUUGCUAAUUCAACCUAUAUACCGCCAUCCCCAGUAAACCCUACCAAGGUUACAAAGUAAGCACAAACAUUCAACAUAAAAACGUUAGGCCAAGGUGUAGUCCAUGAGGUGGAAAGAAAUGGGCUACAUUUUCUAACAACAGAACAAUAUCCUACUACAACCUCUAUGAAAUCCGAGGCCAAAGGAGGAUUUAGUCGUCAACCGCAAAUACAGAGCUUGAUUGAACAAUGCCAUGAAGCACGUCCACAUCGCCCG
rnacentral:rRNA from 1 species